rnacentral:misc_RNA from 1 species
CCCACACGCGCGCGCUGUCGCCCCCAUCCCCUCCUUCCUCCUCCACGUCGCCCCACCCGUCUACUCCACUUCUACAAUGGCGGAUAUCUACCCAGGCUACGGGUACCCCCAAGCCCGUCAGGGCUACAGGGCGAAUCCGAUGUACGGCGGGUAGCAACCCGCCACUGCCGGCUCCCUUGGCGGUGGCGCGUACGCGCCGCCGCAGAAUCGAGCGCCACCAGAGUUAGUCAGUUGGUUCGAGGCGGUGGACAGUGACCAUAAUAGUCGCAUCGAUGUGGCCGAGCUAAACGCUGCCCUCUCCAGCGCCGGCUUCCGGUUUAGCCUUGGCACCACCGAGAAGUUGCUAGCCCGCUACGACCUCGACCGCAGUGGCACCAUCACCAUGGAGGAGUUUGCCCACCUCCACGAGUUCAUUGCCGCGAUGCAGCAAGGCUUCCGCCAACGCGACACCAGCGGUGACGGACGUCUCGACAGUAGAGAGACGCUCGAGGCCUUCCGGCUCAGUGGCUUCGUCCUCAGCGAGCAGACUUUGCAGGCUGUCAUGCGCAAGUUUGACCGACAGCACCGCGGCCCGCUCGGCUUCGACGACUACAUCGAGCUCUCUAUCUUUAUGGCGCAAGCGCGCGACGCGUUCGCCUACUGUGAUCGAGACCGCAGCGGCCAGGUGCUCUUUAACUUCGACACCUUCCUUGGCACAGUGGCAACGAUCUGGUAACGCGGUGUACGUGGCUGCGCCGGUCUUCUACAUUUCUCUCUCUGUGUGUGAGCGUACUCAUGCGCGCAUGGCGCGCCCCCCCCCCUUUCUUCCCUGCCCUCCCCCUCUCUAUGUGUGUGUGUGUGUCUUUGUGCUGUGAAAGGGGCGCGGAGGCGGGUUUGCGCCUCGACGAAACGGUGCCUGCUGCUGACAACACUCCCUCCCCCCGCUCUUCGCAUUCUCUUCUGCAACUACUCUAGCCAAGUAGAGAAGCAAGCCAAAGACGAAGAAGGAGCAUCUAUGCCCAUACGUUUAUGUGUACACUACACCCCGCGUGGCAUCCAACGUGGUGCUGUUGUAGGGGGAGGGGGAACAUCCCUGCCCCACGUGUAAUGUGUCUUUCUGUGUCUGCCUGUCCCCGCCCUCGCGGAGCUCCUGCGCCUACGUACUCGCACAUAUCGGUGAGCGCAUUCUACCGCUCUUCUCGCAAGGUGGCCCUCAUGCCUUUUCCAACGCUCUCCCCUUCCUCCCCCUCCUCCAUUGCCAUCAG